GACCGGAUCGCGGACUUGGUAGACGCGCUGGUCUCAAAAACCAGUUUCCUUUGGAAGUGCCGGUUCGACCCCGGCUCCGGGUACAA
rnacentral:tRNA from 1 species